CCUCUCUCUCUUCUUCUACUGUCUUCACUCUUCCCUGCGGAUCGCCGCCACCUACUCCAACCGGCGUCCCCACAGUCACCAUCUGCACUACCUUCCACCACAUCACUCAAAAUACCCUCCAAAUACCCCCUUAACUUUCUAGAAACCCUAACGUUUUUCUUGACCUCUCUCUCUCUCUCGAUUGCACACAUGCACAGUCUCGGAGGCUCCGCUCCUUCGCCGUCGUCGAUGAGGACGGCGGUGGCAUCGACGAAGACCCACGUUCCGCGCUCAGGUAAGUCACCCCACCACCGCUGGGCCUACCCCUGUUCGACGCUCCAGCGAAGUCGAAGUGUGUAUGGCGGCGGCUGUUGCUCGACGGCCGUGAAUGGAUGGAGGUGGAUUCGUGCGGCUGUGACUUACAGCAGUGACUCAUCGCGGCGCUGAGUCAGUCGACGUCGGGGCUGGUCUAGGCCAGCGGUGCUGCCGGCAUUACUGCAUAUGGUGGAUCAGCGGUUGGCGGCGAGGUUUGGCGACGCGUUUCAGAUCUGCGGCGUGAAGAGCAGCAGGUGGCGGAUAGCUGAGGCACGACGCGUUUCAGAUCUGCGGCUUGAAAUUUCCUUGGUGAUUUUGGAUUUUGGAUGUCAAAUUGUUCAAAUUCGAUUUACAUUGUUCAUGCUUUGCUGAUUAUUGCGUGGGUCAGAUUCCUCAUCUCCUCAAUGCUGCUUUUGGAAUUUUAUUUCUUGUGGAGAUUUGUAGAAGUAGCAAAUUCAAUGUGUAGUGUAUUAGAUGAGCUGCGUAGCCUGCGUUAAGUUUAUCAGUUGGAUUGAAGUUGGAAAUGUGGCGUGAGCAGCAGUAGUUCCAAUCAACUGCUUCUGUCAUGUAAAAUUACUCUUGUUGAUUGCAGUUUAUUAAGUUUUGCAGAUUGGUUCGAGAGGUCUAAGCUUCGCUAGAUGAAACCUUUAACUUAGUAAAAAACACUUUUAAAAUAUAUAAAUGACACUACUUGUAAGAAUGACAC
rnacentral:lncRNA from 1 species